UAAGAGCCCAUCUCCUCGCUACCUUCCACCAACACAAAUACAUAUCGAGUAACUCUUAAUGUAACAAAACACUUGCUUGUCAAACCUCGCGGAUAUAGUGCUCACUUUCUGAAUGUGAAACUUUGCAUUGGUUGUUAAAUGUUGGAUGAAUUAGAUGGUGUACUCCAAAUUCUUCUCUGCUCAUUGAAGCUUCCAAUUACAGCUGCCUGUGUUUUAUCCCCAAGUCGUUUUGCAAAAACAUUGUAAUAAGCUGAUGGAUCCACAUUCUCCAAUAAGUUUACUGUUUUUCCAUGCUCUUCAUCAAUACUGAUUUCACCAUCUUCACAUUCAACUCCAGUAGCACUCACUUGUAACUUCUUCACUUCAAA
rnacentral:misc_RNA from 1 species